GUAUGGCAUGGCUGCAGUAGCAGUGCAUGUAUUUUUUAAUCUGUAUGACAGAGAUGAUGGAAGAUGUCAUUCAAGGUUGUGAUGCAACCAUUAACCACCGUGAGAGGAACAGCUCCCAGUUAGGAGCAUGUGAGUGCACACUCUCCUGCAUCCUCUUGCUCACGCUCUGACAUCUGGGUUUGAAGAAAAUGACUUAAGAAUAAGUUCCUUACAUCCCUAAAGACAAAGUCAGUUCAGCUAAGAGAGAAAUCUGGAAUGAAUCUGUCCACACUGUUUUCUGGACUGCUGGUGUGAAGCAUCAUUUUUCUUCAGUGUGAUGGGGGUAACAGUUCUUACUCAGUAUUUGAUUCAUAGCUUUCAAUAUGUUUGUGCUUCAUACAGAUUUAACUUUGACUUAUCCUCCCACGUGAAAAAGAGUAUUUAAUUCAUUCACUUGUAGUAGUUAUGCAGCAAUCCUAAAUGACUUUUCAGUCAAACAGAAGUACUUUUUUACAUCCUGAAUUUAAUAUGAGCAGGCCUCUUGACACCUAGUCUAGUUUUUUGUGGAGCAUCACUGCUUAUAAUAAAUGUUGUUUUUUCUCUUCUAAAUGAUGUGAGUAACAAUUCUCUCCCUUGUCUCAUCUCUGCACAGGUCAUGGAUAUUUAGCUGCCAAAUUUCUGUACCUUAGGAAAUUAUGCUUCCAGAACAUCUUGUUUAUAUAUUCCCUAAACUGUUGCACUUGCCUUAAAAUGAUGAAUGCCAGCAACAGCUGGGCUGUAUACGAUUGAAUUUCACUUUGUCUCUAUUCCCAGAACCCUGCUUUCACAUGGAUUCCAGUAAGCAGUAUCUAAACGCACAGGAGUAGGGGUAAAUACACACUCUACACUCUGAGUUCAUUGUGUUUGCCUUGAGAUCUAACUCGUUCUGCAUUUGUAACUUUGAUUAUUUGGGCAUGCGUUCACCUGGACAGGCUGGAGAGUUGGGCUGAGGGGACCCUCGUGAAGUUCAGCAAAGGCAAGUGUACAGUCCUGCACCUGGGGAGGAGUAACCAGUGCACCGGUACAGGUUAGUAAGGGUUGGCCUACUGGAAAAGCUGCCCUCUGGCAAAGGACCUGAGAAUUCUGGUGGACAAAUUGACCAUGAGCCAACAAUGUGCCUUUAUGGCCAUGAAGCCCAGUGGUAUCCUGGAGUACAUUAAAAAGAGUGUGGCCAACAGUUUGAGAGAGGUUCUCUUACCCCUCUGCCCUGGUGAGACCACACCUGGACUAUUGUGUGCAGUUCUGAGGUCUCCAGUUAAAGCAAGACAGGGAACUACCGAGCAUCCAGAGGAGAGCCACGAAGAGGCUGGAGCAUCUGUCUUACAAGUGGAGGCUGAGAGACCUGCGGCUCUUGAGCCUGGAGAGGACUGUGAAGGGAUCUUAUCAGUGCUUAUAAAUAUCUAAAGGGUGCAGAUGGUGAGGGUGGGGCUGGGCUCUCCUCAGUGGUACCUAAUGACAGGACAAGGGGAAGAAGGCACAAACUGGAAUACUGGAGGUUUCACUUGAAUGUGAGGAGAAACGUCUUUACUUUGAGGGUGAUGGAGCACUAAAAGAGGUGGCCCAGAGAGGCUGCGGUGUCUCCUUCUCUGGAGACUUUCAAAACCCAUCUGCACGCAUUCCUGUGCAACCUGCUCUAGGGGUACCUCAUUUAGCAGGGGACUUGACUAGGUGAUCUCCAGGAAUCACUGCCAACCCCUACCUACUGUGAUUCUGCAGCCCUGUGAUGUUGCAGAGUGCUGGAUUUGUUUGCUUUUGUGGCCACCAUGAUUCACCUGACUUUUUUUUUUCCUUUUGGCAGUUGAUUUGGAACUUUUGCUUUUGGUUUUUUGUACACAUGCAUGGAUCUUGCCUUUCUCUGGAGCACCACCAAUAAUGACUUGGAUUGCAAGUAGUGCAGAUCAAGAGUCCCCAGAUAUGUUAGUGGUUGCACAAAGACAAGCCCUUCCUCAUAGGAUGGAUUAAACUCUCCAAAGAGAAGAAAAUGAUGAGGUCUCCCACGUAAAGGUUUGGCCAGACUUCAUCCACGUGGCGCACGGGCUGCGUGCGUGUGCAGAGCAGGCGCCGCAGCUCCUCCAAGGUGUGUGUUGUGGCACCGCGCGGGCUGCCGCCCGUCCCGCUCGAGGCACUCCGUAUCUUCGGGCGCAGUGAGUCCCUGCUGCACGGGGAGUCCCAGGCCAUCCUGGAAGGUGGAGAAGCAGACAUUCACCACCAGGCAGAGGCAUAUCUGCGGUUGUCCUCUCUUCGUCUCGCACUCCCUUAUUCCCUCAACAAGCUUGCCCAUGGUUGCAGCAGACAUUGAGCUGAAGCUUCUACCUCAGGAGACUCC